ACAUUGUUUUCUAUGGAAGAUAAUUAAUUAGCCAAAAACUACUUACUGUCUGUAUAGCUCCUCCAGCUUGGGAAAUGCUGGCCUGUUUGCUCAAGUCCUGGAUGCCAGACAUUCCUGAGACUCCACUCCACACACACCCCUUCCUCCUUGCCAAUCACUUCAGAUUGGGAGAGCAAGCUACCACCAGUGUGCUAAGGUGUGUUUAGGAACUGGAGAAAGGGCUCAGAUGGAGGAGUGCUUGCCCAGCACGCAGAAGAUGCUAAAUUCUCUUCCUAGCACUGCAGACAGGCAUGGUGGAUUAUAGUGUAAAUAUAUAAGUAGACUUGUGCCUAUAAUCCCAGGACGCUGGAGGUAGAGGCAAGAGGAGGAAGAUUCAAGGUCAUCAUCAGCUAUAUAGAAAUUUUGAGAGCAACCUGAACCAUGUGAGACCCAAAAGGAAAAGGUAAGGAAAGAAAUGACUUUACAUAAAAAUGACCAAAUGUUUUGUCAUCCCUACUGCCUUCUCUUAUUCAUUUACUUUUUGAAUUUUUUUUUUGGUAUGUUCAUUCUGACUUGCAGUUUUGAAAAAAAAA
rnacentral:lncRNA from 1 species